rnacentral:rRNA from 1 species
UUAAGUGAACAAGGGCAUACGGCGGAUGCCUUGGCGCCAAGAGCCGAUGAAGGACGCGGUAAGCUGCGAAAAGGCAUGGGUAGGAGCAAGCAUCCAGUGAUCCAUGCAUAUCCGAAUGGGGCAACCCACCAUCAGUCAUGUGAUGGUACGAAAGAGGCAGACCUGGGGAACUGAAACAUCUAAGUACCCAGAGGAAAAGUAAUCAAUUGAGAUUCCCUAAGUAGCGGCGAGCGAAAGGGGAAGAGCCCAAACCAUGAAACUUCGGUUUUGUGGGGUUGAGGACCGGCAUAAAGAGGAAACUUCUUAGUCGAAUGGUUUGGAAAGGCCAUGCACAGAAGGUAAAACACCUGUAGGCGAAAAGAAGUCAAUCGGGCUGGUAUCCAGAGUACUGCGAGACACGUGAAACCUUGCAGGAAGCAGGGGGGACCACCCUCCAAGGCAAAAUACUACUUGGCGACCGAUAGCGCAUAGUACCGUGAGGGAAAGGUGAAAAGAACCCCGGGAGGGGAGUGAAAUAGAACCUGAAACCGUAUGUCUACAAGCAGUCGAAGCACCUUAAGAGUGCGACGGCGUGCCUAUUGAAGAAUGAACCGGCGAGUUACAUUAUGUUGCGAGGUUAAGUGGGAGACACGGAGCCGAAGCGAAAGCGAGUCUUAAUAGGGCGACUAGUAACAUGGUGUAGACCCGAAACCGCAGUGAUCUAUCCAUGGUCAGGUUGAAGCGCAGGUAAAAAUGCGUGGAGGACCGAACCCGUGAGUGUUGAAAAACUUUGGGAUGAACCGUGGAUAGGGGUGAAAUGCCAAUCGAACGCGGAGAUAGCUGGUACUCCCCGAAAUAGCUUUAGGGCUAGCCUCAGGGAAGAUUAUAGACGGUAGAGCACUGAUCUGGCAAGGGGGCGUAAAGCCUACCGACCCUAGUCAAACUUCGAAUGGCUAUAAUUAAGACCCUGGGAGUCAGACUGCGAGUGAUAAGACCCGUAGUCAAGAGGGAAACAGCCCAGACCGCCGACUAAGGUCCCCAAUGCUGUACUAAGUGGAAAAGGAUGUAAGACUUCAUAAACAACCAGGAUGUUGGCUUAGAAGCAGCCACCAUUAAAAGAGUGCGUAAUAGCUCACUGGUCGAGAGGCCUUGCGCCGAAGAUGUCCGGGGCUCAAGUACAGAACCGAAGUCGCGGCAGGAUUAUAUAAUUCUGGGUAGGGGAGCGUUGUAUAUCCGACUGAAGGUGUACCGGAAGGAGCGCUGGAGGAUAUACAAGAGAGAAUGCCGGUAUGAGUAGCGAAAAGAACAGUGAGAAUCUGUUCCACCGAAAGCCUAAGGUUUCCUGAGCAACGCUCGUCGACUCAGGGUAAGUCGGGACCUAAGCCGAGGCAAAAAGCAUAGGCGAUGGACAACAGGUUAAUAUUCCUGUACCGCUUCAAAUCGUUUGAGCAAUGGAGUGACACAGAAGGUAGCUUGAGCACGCGAAUGGAUGUGCGUGUCGAAGGUGGUAGGUUGCAGUAUAGGUAAAUCCGUACUGUAUAAGACCGAGAACUGAUAGAUAGAUGAUACUUCGGUAAAGUCAAAUUCAAGUGAGCCAUGCUGUCGAGAAAAGCUUCUAGUGAGAGAUGAGGCGCCCGUACCGAAACCGACACAGGUAGGCGGGGAGAGAAUCCUAAGGUGCGCGGGACAACCCUCGUUAAGGAACUCGGCAAAUUGUAUCCGUAACUUAGGGAUAAGGAUAGCCGGAGGAUGUGAAGGGAUUUACUUCUGGAGCGUCAGCCGGUGGCACAAGAGAGGCCCAAGCGACUGUUUAGCACAAACACAGGUGCCUGCAAAAGAGAAAUCUGACGUAUAGGUGCUGACACCUGCCCGGUGCUGGAAGGUUAAGAGGAGGGCUUAGAGGAAACUCGAAGGCUUGAAUUGAAGCCCCAGUAAACGGCGGCCGUAACUAUAACGGUCCUAAGGUAGCGAAAUUCCUUGUCGGGUAAGUUCC